GGCGGCCUCACUAGGCCUGCGGGGCGGAGUCAGCGCGAUGGGGCGGAGCCUGUGGAGAUGGCGGAUGGUUAGAACCGCGCUCCGGGGGCGGGGUCGAAGGCGGAGCGAGGCAGACACGCUCGCCGCAGACGUAGGCCUCACCCGACCCCCUGGCCAGGAUGGACCGGAUGGCUGCUGCAGCCUUGGCGACGCGGGUGCGGCGGCCACUGCAACCCGCGGAGCUCCGCGUGUUGCGGCAGCAGAGCAUGCUUUAGGGCGGCGGGGAAAUGCCGCACUCAGGGCCAGGAGGCUGGGAAAUCGACUACAUAUAUUGUAUCCUACCCGAGGGACAGCGGGGAAUACGCUCGGGGCUGUCCUUGGGACGGCUGUACCGUGUGCAGAGGGACGGACAGGUCGGGGCCAAAAGAGGAGCAGAGGGGACCUGGUGCCGGUUGGAUGUCUCCUGGAUAGCUGAAGAUUCUCGCCUCCUCCGAACUUCCAUCAUCAACUUUCUCGACCAGCUUUCCCUGGUGAUUCAGACCAUGCAGCACUUUGGGCCCCCUCUUUCCCGCUAAGCCUGGGUUAGGAAAAGCGGGCUGAGACCCAACCUUGUAUCCGGUCCUAGGCCGUAGAUCCUUCCCAUGGCAAUGAUUCCUGCAGUAGCUGCCACUUUAUUAUGGGGCCCUAAUCUUUUGCCUGUACUGGCCCUUGGGCAUUUGUGGUCCACUUGCUUUGUUUGGUGCUUAAGUGUUUGUCACUGCAGCAAAUAAAACUGAGAUACUAUUC